rnacentral:rRNA from 1 species
AGAGUUUGAUCAUGGCUCAGAUUGAACGCUGGCGGCAGGCCUAACACAUGCAAGUCGAACGGUAACAGGAAGCAGCUUGCUGCUUUGCUGACGAGUGGCGGACGGGUGAGUAAUGUCUGGGAAACUGCCUGAUGGAGGGGGAUAACUACUGGAAACGGUAGCUAAUACCGCAUAACGUCGCAAGACCAAAGAGGGGGACCUUCGGGCCUCUUGCCAUCGGAUGUGCCCAGAUGGGAUUAGCUAGUAGGUGGGGUAACGGCUCACCUAGGCGACGAUCCCUAGCUGGUCUGAGAGGAUGACCAGCCACACUGGAACUGAGACACGGUCCAGACUCCUACGGGAGGCAGCAGUGGGGAAUAUUGCACAAUGGGCGCAAGCCUGAUGCAGCCAUGCCGCGUGUAUGAAGAAGGCCUUCGGGUUGUAAAGUACUUUCAGCGGGGAGGAAGGGAGUAAAGUUAAUACCUUUGCUCAUUGACGUUACCCGCAGAAGAAGCACCGGCUAACUCCGUGCCAGCAGCCGCGGUAAUACGGAGGGUGCAAGCGUUAAUCGGAAUUACUGGGCGUAAAGCGCACGCAGGCGGUUUGUUAAGUCAGAUGUGAAACACACGCAGGCGGUUUGUUAAGUCAGAUGUGAAAUCCCCGGGCUCAACCUGGGAACUGCAUCUGAUACUGGCAAGCUUGAGUCUCGUAGAGGGGGGUAGAAUUCCAGGUGUAGCGGUGAAAUGCGUAGAGAUCUGGAGGAAUACCGGUGGCGAAGGCGGCCCCCUGGACGAAGACUGACGCUCAGGUGCGAAAGCGUGGGGAGCAAACAGGAUUAGAUACCCUGGUAGUCCACGCCGUAAACGAUGUCGACUUGGAGGUUGUGCCCUUGAGGCGUGGCUUCCGGAGCUAACGCGUUAAGUCGACCGCCUGGGGAGUACGGCCGCAAGGUUAAAACUUAAAACUCAAAUGAAUUGACGGGGGCCCGCACAAGCGGUGGAGCAUGUGGUUUAAUUCGAUGCAACGCGAAGAACCUUACCUGGUCUUGACAUCCACGGAAGUUUUCAGAGAUGAGAAUGUGCCUUCGGGAACCGUGAGACAGGUGCUGCAUGGCUGUCGUCAGCUCGUGUUG